CCUACGGGUGGCUGCAGUGGGGAAUAUUGGACAAUGGGGGCAACCCUGAUCCAGCCAUGCCGCGUGUGUGAAGAAGGCCCUCGGGUUGUAAAGCACUUUCAGUGAGGAAGAACGCCUGGUGGUUAAUACCCAUCAGGAAAGACAUCACUCACAGAAGAAGCACCGGCUAACUCCGUGCCAGCAGCCGCGGUAAUACGGAGGGUGCGAGCGUUAAUCGGAAUUACUGGGCGUAAAGCGCGCGUAGGUGGCUUGAUAAGCCGGUUGUGAAAGCCCCGGGCUCAACCUGGGAACGGCAUCCGGAACUGUCAAGCUAGAGUGCAGGAGAGGAAGGUAGAAUUCCCGGUGUAGCGGUGAAAUGCGUAGAGAUCGGGAGGAAUUCCAGUGGCGAAGGCGGCCUUCUGGACUGACACUGACACUGAGGUGCGAAAGCGUGGGUAGCAAACAGGAUUAGAUACCCUUGUAGUC
rnacentral:rRNA from 1 species